AAGCUUCUUCGGAAGUUAGUAAAGCGGCAGACGGGUGAGUAACGCGUGAGAAUCUACCUUCUAGUGGAGAAUACCCUCGAGAAAUCGAGGUUAAUACUGCAUAAGUCCCUUCGGGGAGAAAGAUGGCCUCUUUGCUGUCGCUGGAAGAUGAGCUUGCGUGCUAUUAGCUAGUUGGUAGGGUAAAGGCCUACCAAGGCGAUGAUAGCUAGCCGGCCUGAGAGGGUGUACGGCCACACUGGAACUUAGACACGGUCCAGACUCCUACGGGAGGCAGCAGUGAGGAAUCUUGCGCAAUGGGCGAAAGCCUGACGCAGCGACGCCGCGUGGAGGAUGACGGUCUUCGGA
rnacentral:rRNA from 1 species